rnacentral:rRNA from 1 species
AGUCGAACGGAGCGCCGGACACGGACUAUUUCGGUAGGAAGCGUGCGGAGGCUUAGUGGCGGACGGGUGAGUAACGCGUGGAUAACCUGCCGCAUACCGGGGGAUAACAGCUGGAAACAGCUGCUAAUACCGCAUAUGCCCGCAGUGCUGCAUGGCACAGCGGGGAAAACUCCGGUGGUAUGCGAUGGGUCCGCGUCUGAUUAGGCAGUUGGCGGGGUAACGGCCCACCAAACCGACGAUCAGUAGCCGGCCUGAGAGGGCGGACGGCCACACUGGGACUGAGACACGGCCCAGACUCCUGCGGGAGGCAGCAGUGGGGAAUAUUGCACAAUGGGGGAAACCCUGAU